rnacentral:rRNA from 1 species
AUUGAACGCUGGCGGCAGGCCUAACACAUGCAAGUCGAGCGGAGCGGCGGACGGGUGAGUAAUGCCUAGGACUAUGCCUGGUAGUGGGGGAUAACGUCCGGAAACGGGCGCUAAUACCGCAUACUAUCAGAUGAGCCUAGGCCGGAUUAGCUAGUAGGUGGGGGAAUGGACGACCUUGGCGACGAUCCCUAGCUGGUCUGAGCGGAUGACCAGCCACACUGGAACGCAGACAGGGUCCAGACUCCGACGGUAGGCAGCCGUGGGUAAUAUUGCACAAUGGGCGCAAGCCUGAUGCAGCCAUGCAGCGUGUGUGAAGAAGGCCUUCGGGUUGUAAAGUACUUUCAGCGGGGAGGCGUUACCCGCAGAAGAAGCACCGGCUAACUCCGUGCCAGCAGCCGCGGUAAUAC